AAAACAAGCUUUUAAGAGCAGAUGGCGGAUGCCUUGCCAAAGAGAGGCGAUGAAGGACGUACUAGACUGCGAUAAGCUAUGCGGAGCUGUCAAGGAGCUUUGAUGCGUAGAUGUCCGAAUGGGGCAACCCAACUAAUAGAGAUAUUAGUUACUCUUUAAUAGAGAGCGAACCUAGUGAAGUGAAACAUCUCAGUAACUAGAGGAAAAGAAAUCAACGAGAUUCCCUAAGUAGUGGCGAGCGAACGGGGAAAAGGGCAAACCGAGUGCUUGCAUUCGGGGUUGAGGACUGCAAUAUCCAAGAGAACGCUUUAGCAGAGUUACCUGGAAAGGUAAGCCAUAGAAAGUGAUAGCCUUGUAUGCGACAAGGCGUUCUCAGGUAGCAGUAUCCAGAGUAGGCCAGGACACGAGAAAUCCAGGUUGAAGCCGGGGAGACCACUCUCCAACCCUAAAUACUACUCUUUGAGCGAUAGCGAACAAGUACCGUGAGGGAAAGGUGAAAAGAACCGCAGUGAGCGGAGUGAAAUAGAACCUGAAACCAUCUGCUUACAAUCAUUCAGAGCCCUAUGAUUUAUCAGGGUGAUGGACUGCCUUUUGCAUAAUGAUCCUGCGAGUUGUGGUAUCUGGCAAGGUUAAGUGAAUGCGAAGCCGUAGCGAAAGCGAGUCUUAAUAGGGCGAACAAGUCAGAUGCUGCAGACCCGAAGCUAAGUGAUCUAUCCAUGGCCAAGUUGAAACGCGUGUAAUAGCGCGUGGAGGACUGAACUCGUACCCAUUGAAACGGGUUGGGAUGAGCUGUGGAUAGGGGUGAAAGGCCAAACAAACUUAGUGAUAGCUGGUUCUCUUCGAAAUAUAUUUAGGUAUAGCCUCAAGUGAUAAUAAAAGGGGGUAGAGCACUGAUUGGGCUAGGGCUGCUCGCCGCGGUACCAAACCCUAUCAAACUUCGAAUACCUUUUAUCGUAUCUUGGGAGUCAGGCGGUGGGUGAUAAAAUCAAUCGUCAAAAGGGGAACAACCCAGACUACCAAAUAAGGUCCCUAAGUUCUAUUCUGAGUGGAAAAAGAUGUGUGGCUACUCAAACAACCAGGAGGUUGGCUUAGAAGCAGCCAUCCUUUAAAGAAAGCGUAACAGCUCACUGGUCUAGUGGUCAUGCGCUGAAAAUAUAACGGGGCUAAGAUAGACACCGAAUUUGUAGAUUGUGUUAAACACAGUGGUAGAAGAGCGUUCAUACCAGCGUUGAAGGUAUACCGGUAAGGAGUGCUGGAGCGGUAUGAAGUGAGCAUGCAGGAAUGAGUAACGAUAAGAUAUAUGAGAAUUGUAUCCGCCGUAAAUCUAAGGUUUCCUACGCGAUGGUCGUCAUCGUAGGGUUAGUCGGGUCCUAAGCCGAGUCCGAAAGGGGUAGGUGAUGGCAAAUUGGUUAAUAUUCCAAUACCGACUCAUGGAGCGUGAUGGGGGGACGCAUAGGGUUAAGCGAGCUAGCUGAUGGAAGCGCUAGUCUAAGGGCGUAGAUUGGAGGGAAGGCAAAUCCACCUCUGUAUUUGAAACCCAAACAGGCUCUUUGAGUCCUUUUAGGACAAAGGGAGAAUCGCUGAUACCGUCGUGCCAAGAAAAGCCUCUAAGCAUAUCCAUAGUCGUCCGUACCGCAAACCGACACAGGUAGAUGAGAUGAGUAUUCUAAGGCGCGUGAAAGAACUCUGGUUAAGGAACUCUGCAAACUAGCACCGUAAGUUCGCGAUAAGGUGUGCCACAGCGAUGUGGUCUCAGCAAAGAGUCCCUCCCGACUGUUUACCAAAAACACAGCACUUUGCCAACUCGUAAGAGGAAGUAUAAGGUGUGACGCCUGCCCGGUGCUCGAAGGUUAAGAGGAUGCGUCAGUCGCAAGAUGAAGCGUUGAAUUGAAGCCCGAGUAAACGGCGGCCGUAACUAUAACGGUCCUAAGGUAGCGAAAUUCCUUGUCGGUUAAAUACCGACCUGCAUGAAUGGCGUAACGAGAUGGGAGCUGUCUCAACCAGAGAUUCAGUGAAAUUGUAGUGGAGGUGAAAAUUCCUCCUACCCGCGGCAAGACGGAAAGACCCCGUGGACCUUUACUACAACUUAGCACUGCUAAUGGGAAUAUCAUGCGCAGGAUAGGUGGGAGGCUUUGAAGUAAGGGCUUUGGCUCUUAUGGAGCCAUCCUUGAGAUACCACCCUUGAUGUUUCUGUUAGCUAACUGGCCUGUGUUAUCCACAGGCAGGACAAUGCUUGGUGGGUAGUUUGACUGGGGCGGUCGCCUCCUAAAAAGUAACGGAGGCUUGCAAAGGUUGGCUCAUUGCGGUUGGAAAUCGCAAGUUGAGUGUAAUGGCACAAGCCAGCCUGACUGUAAGACAUACAAGUCAAGCAGAGACGAAAGUCGGUCAUAGUGAUCCGGUGGUUCUGUGUGGAAGGGCCAUCGCUCAAAGGAUAAAAGGUACCCCGGGGAUAACAGGCUGAUCUCCCCCAAGAGCUCACAUCGACGGGGAGGUUUGGCACCUCGAUGUCGGCUCAUCGCAUCCUGGGGCUGGAGCAGGUCCCAAGGGUAUGGCUGUUCGCCAUUUAAAGCGGUACGCGAGCUGGGUUCAGAACGUCGUGAGACAGUUCGGUCCCUAUCUGCCGUGGGCGUAGGAAAGUUGAGGAGAGCUGUCCCUAGUACGAGAGGACCGGGAUGGACGUGUCACUGGUGCACCAGUUGUUCUGCCAAGAGCAUCGCUGGGUAGCUACACACGGAUGUGAUAACUGCUGAAAGCAUCUAAGCAGGAAGCCAACUCCAAGAUAAACUUUCCCUGAAGCUCGCACAAAGACUAUGUGCUUGAUAGGGUAGAUGUGUGAGUGCAGUAAUGCAUUUAGCUGACUACUACUAAUAGAGCGUUUGGCUUGUUUUU
rnacentral:rRNA from 1 species